GCACUCCUACGGGAGGCAGCAGUGGGGAAUAUUGCACAAUGGGCGCAAGCCUGAUGCAGCCAUGCCGCGUGUAUGAAGAAGGCCUUCGGGUUGUAAAGUACUUUCAGCAGUGAGGAAGGUGGGUAUGUUAAUAGCAUAUUCAUUUGACGUUAGCUGCAGAAGAAGCACCGGCUAACUCCGUGCCAGCAGCCGCGGUAAUACGGAGGGUGCGAGCGUUAAUCGGAAUUACUGGGCGUAAAGCGCAUGCAGGUGGUUUGUUAAGUCAGAUGUGAAAGCCCGGGGCUCAACCUCGGAAUUGCAUUUGAAAACUGGCAAACUAGAGUACUGUAGAGGGGGUAGAAUUUCAGGUGUAGCGGUGAAAUGCGUAGAGAUCUGAAGGAAUACCGGUGGCGAAGGCGGCCCCCUGGACAGAUACUGACACUCAGAUGCGAAAGCGUGGGGAGCAAACAGGAUUAGAUACCCUGGUAG
rnacentral:rRNA from 1 species